AAAUGAACAUUUUCAAAAUACAUGAGAGGUUUUGACUCAAUCAUUUUUACCAAACACUUCUUUUUGAUAAAUUUGGAUUAAUCAACCUUUAAAAAUUGUUCAAAAGUUCAAAACUCUAAAAGCCCCUAAACCUCUCUUCACUGAACAAGGCCAAGAACAUUCUUUCGAGUUUUAAGGAACAUAAAGUAAUAAAAGUAUAAAUUAAUUGUACAAUGAAAUCAACAAGAAAAAUUUCCCUAAACAAAAAUAUAUAAAUUCUGGAGCAUCAUGUUCUUGGAUAAUGGUUGCGCAAGUCUGAGAGAAGCACAGAAGAGGAAGUUGGGAUUCAAGCUAACUUAUCAUGUAGUGGCUCUUGUAUGCGGCGUUGUGGGAAUAUUGACGUCUAUGGUUGGCUCCUCUGCUUGCUUUUACAAUUCAUACACAACAAGCAGAAACAGUUUAGCGAUACUGGAGCAAAAGGUGAGGGAUCUUAAACAAUUGCUGGAGAAGAUUGAACUGAAGUUUAGAGGGAAUGGUGUGCUUAGGCCUGAUCCCUCGGAAUGGAUUAGAAAUGUAAAUACUUUUUUGGAAGCAGACCGUAAAAUGGACCUUGGAGGUCAUCUACAUGAGAGUUGUAUCAAUUGUUGUCUUGUGUGUAAGACUUGGAAGUUAAUCUUGAACAGUACGAGAAAAGCGGACAAGCUGCUGAAGGAGGGUGAAGAUAUCGAAGUCGUCGGUAUUAGGCGGUCAGGUUCAAGAACGACAUAUUUUUUUGGAGAGGAUGUAGAAAACAUCAGUGAAAUGAUAUGGAAUGAAGUUUCACAGGAAACAGGAGUACAGGUAGUUUGCAUUCAUGGAAUUGCUGGUGUCGGAAAGACAGUUAUGGCAGCAGCAAUCCAUGAUAAAGCAUUGGAAAAUAUGGAGGAUAAUUUUCAGAAUGUUAUUUGGAUAAGCAUUGAGUAUGGGUGGGUGAUGAAGGACAUUCAAGAAGAAAUUGGAAGGCAGUUACCUUCAGAUCUCUCUGACUGUACAGAUGAUAGAGUCAGAGCUGAAAGAUUGAAGGCGGUUCUAACUAGCAAGAAAUUUCUCCUGGUUUUAGACAGUUUCCCAAUGUGGCAAGAUUUGAAUCUUGAUCAUAUUGGAUUACCACGGUCUAGCAAUAGUUGGAAGCUGAUAGUUGCUUCAAGAAGUUAUUCGGCAUGCAUAAAAGUCAGGGAGCGUAUUUCUGCAACAAAUAUAAUUUAUGAAAUAAAACCUCUUCCUCAGGAUAAGGCUUGGGAAUUAUUUGAACAUGUUGCAGGUUCCAACCUUGGGCGUUUAAAUGAUGAAAUCAUCCAGGACACUAAGCUCGCUGUAAUUGAUCUUAACGGCCUUCCUUCAGCUAUUGAAAUGUUUGCAAAGGCCCUGAAAGAAAUACCUGAUGACAACCCUACCAGAAUUAUUGAUUCUUGGAAAAGGGAAUUGGUUUCUCUGAGUAGCUCAGGGUCCUUGCUUGGUAGAAAAGGCCAAGAGUUUUUUAACGGUUUCAAAGAUAUCUUCGAAAAAUUAGAACAGGUCGAGUUGUCAUGUUUUGCUUAUUGUCUGUUAUUUCCAAAGGGUUAUAUCAUCAAGGCAAAGGAGCUGAUAGAGUAUUGGAUGUGGGAGGGAAUUCUUGGUGAAGUUUCAUGUUUGGAAGAAACCAUAGGAAAGGGACGGGAAGUAUUGCACAAUCUCAGCGAUGCUCACCUUCUUGAGAUCAUUGACGAAGGUAAGCCUGAAGAAUCCGUCAGGAUGCUGACUGUAAUCCGAUUUGCAGCAAUGAAUGCUGAUGUAAUAAAAUCAGGUCACCAUGACAUCAUCAAAUGUGGAAACUCUGUCAAAGAGCUUCCUUUAGCAAAGGAUUGGCCUGAGAAUACUCAAAGAGCCACAUUUGUUCAGAAUGAGGUGUGCGCUUUACAAAAUAGUCCUGAUUGCAAAUUUCUGUCUACUUUGCUUAUGCAAGAUAAUCCCCUAGACUCAGCAUCCCACAAAAAGUUCUUUUCAAAGUUGGUUAAUCUUCGAGUCCUUGAUCUAUCUCGAACUAAGAUGAAAUCUCUACCAAAAUCUCUCUCUGGCUUGGAUAAUCUACAUGCACUUCUUCUUCGUGAUUGUGAAAACUUAACUUCUCUCCCAUCCUUGUCAAAUCUCCAAAAAUUGCUUGUUCUUGAUCUCUCUGGGACACCUGUAACAGAGUUGCCUAGAGGGUUAAACAACUUGACAAACUUAAGGCGUCUGAAUCUUUCGUGUACUAAGUUACAAGUACUCCAAGCUUCAGAAGUUGGUCAACUGACACAGUUAGAAGAACUAUUAUUGAUGUGCAAUAGUGGGGGAAAUCUCAUAUGGGGGUCGAAUAAGAUUUAUUCAGUUCGGAGAGAUCUUUGUAUAGAGGAGAUCAUAAACUUGGGAAGGUUGGUUGUUCUUCAGCUUAACUUCUCUGACACAGCAGUCUUCAGAAAAUUUCUGCACACUGCAAAAUUUGAGAGAAAUGCUGCCAGGCAAGGAGUUACAAAACGCAGAUUUAAAUUUCGUGUGGGUCAAAUGUACAAUAAUUGUGAUCAUGUAGUUGGUGACAACAGUUUAACAUUAAUAGGAGAUCACAGGGCUCCUCUUACCAAAGGAACUGCUGAGUUGCACUUGAUAAGUUGUGCUCAGAAACUACCCUCACUAAAUAUUUAUGGCUGCUUGAGGCACUUGUCCAUUCUGGAUGUCUCUGACUUCGAUUACCUUGAGUAUGUGCUCACAAGGGAGAUGCUUAACAACCUCGUUGAGCUGAAGGAGAUACGUGUGAGGCGGUGUCAGAAAACUGUAUCAAUAAUAAAGCCGGAUGCAGAGGCUGACAUUAUUGCUGUUCCUAAAUUAACAACAUUGUUGCUCUGUGAUCUACCGGAGCUGAAGAGCAUAUGUGAUUGGCAAGAGGUGAAUUUCCCUUUUCUGGAGGAGGUUAAGGUUUUGAAUUGUGAAAUCAUGGAGCUCCCUACGAUGGGGGCUGGAGAACGCAAGAUUUUAAUCAAAGGAUACAGGAAUUGGCUUGAGAGAGAAAAAAACAGUAAUUCAAGUGCCAGUUCUGUCUUCAUAUAUGAAGAAAUACCACAGCCUACAGAGAUACAGCCUUCUUCUACUUCAGGACUGCCACCAGUUCCACCGGUACAGCCAAUUAAUUGUACAGGACUGCCACCAGUUCCACCGGUACAGACAGUUAAUCGUACAGGACACACGACUCCCGGCUAUUUGGACAUACUUAGGGGCUGGGUUGUUGUGACCUUUUCACGGGCCGCAGGCGACCUUCAUACUGCCAGCACCAGUAGCUAUGCAAUGUCCGAGGAUUCUGCACUCCCACUUGCCGGAGCUGGUCCAUCGGAAAUAGAACUUAACAGAUCCCGCAGCAGUCGUUCCACAAAUUAGAAGAUGCACCCAGUUGUAUGUAGCUCUAAAUGCAACCGGAUUAAAAGCACAUUUUUACAAUUAAAAACACGUUUUUACAGAUUGCCACCAGUUCCACCGGCUCCGCCGGUUAAUCAUACAGGAAAUACGAGUCCCAGCUGUUGGGACAUAAUUACGUGCAUGAUUUGGGAUCGUGUGACCCGUUCACCCGCAGGCGACCUUCAUACUGCCACUGCCAGCACCAGUAGUUAUGCGAUAUCCGAGGAUUCUGCCCUCCCACAUGCAGGAGCUGGGGAGAUGUCUUAGAGGUGAAGGAUGUCGAAGAGGAUGUUAAAAAUUACAUGAAUUCCAAGACUCGAGAUUGUGCAAAAGGGUUAUGCAAGUUUGUAGGCAACUAUGGUGAGUUGACUAAACACACAUAUCGUUAUCACCCUUUUGAUGAUUUUCCUGUUUUGGAGGAUUAUAUGAUAUCUGACGGUCGUGCGGUUGAAGUCAUCGGUCCCAUGGUUCGUGUAUUGCCAGAUACGCUGUUUGAUAUACAUAAUAUGGGUGAUUAUUUUGAAUCACAAUUUCACAUGUACUUGCAACGCUGGUAGCAGAUAGAUAGAUAGAUAGAUAGAUAGAUAGAUAUUCAGUGGGUUUAAUUCAUUUUGUAAUUUGUUCCACGUAUUUGAGUUUAAUAAUUAAAGGGAAAUCUUAUGGAGUUUAAA